UACAGAGGGUGCGAGCGUUGUCCGGAAUCACUGGGCGUAAAGGGCGCGUAGGUGGCCUGGUAAGUAGGGUGUGAAAUCUCGGGGCUUAACUCCGAAACUGCAUUCGAUACUGCCGUGCUUGAGGACUGGAGAGGAGACUGGAAUUUACGGUGUAGCGGUGAAAUGCGUAGAUAUCGUAAGGAAGGCCAGUGGCGAAGGCGGGUCUCUGGACAGUUCCUGACGCUGAGGCACGAAGGCCAGGGGAGCAAACGGG
rnacentral:rRNA from 1 species